rnacentral:rRNA from 1 species
AUUGAACGCUGGCGGCAUGCUUUACACAUGCAAGUCGAACGGUAACAGGCCUUCGGGUGCUGACGAGUGGCGAACGGGUGAGUAAUUCAUCGGAACGUGCCCAGAGGUGGGGGAUAACGCAGCGAAAGCUGUGCUAAUACCGCAUGUGAUCUGAGGAUGAAAGCGGGGGACCAGGCAGCAAUGUUUGGCCUCGCGCCUUUGGAGCGGCCGAUGUCAGAUUAGGUAGUUGGUGGGGUAAAGGCCUACCAAGCCGACGAUCUGUAGCUGGUCUGAGAGGACGACCAGCCACACUGGGACUGAGACACGGCCCAGACUCCUACGGGAGGCAGCAGUGGGGAAUUUUGGACAAUGGGCGCAAGCCUGAUCCAGCAAUGCCGCGUGCGGGAAGAAGGCCUUCGGGUUGUAAACCGCUUUUGUACGGAACGAAAAGGCUCUGGCUAAUACCUGGGGCCGAUGACGGUACCGUAAGAAUAAGCACCGGCUAACUACGUGC